GCGGAAGGAUCAUUCAUGUAACAAUGAAAGGGUUGGCUGUCUUCGGAUAGUUGGCCUGAUCGUCCAACCUGUGAACAUUAUUAAUUUUGGUGACCAUGUAGUGUUGAUGCUAUAGUCUUUCGGGGCUUUAGUGUUGACCAGAAGCUGGCGCCAGGGGCUUUGCUAACCAUUUUUAUUUUAUUGCCUAAAACAUUUAAGUGAAAUUAUAUUAUAACCUUUAACAAUGGAUCUCUUGGCUCCUGCAACGAUGAAGAACGCAGCGAAAUGCGAUACGUAAUGUGAAUCGCAGCUAUUCGUGAAUCAUCGAAUCUUUGAACGCACAUUGCACUUCCUAGCUUGCUGGGAAGUAUGUCUGUUUGAGUAUCAUUUUAUCUAUCUUUCAAGCUUGCUUGAGGGGGACUUGAGUGUUUCACAUUCUUAAUUGGAUGCGACACUUUGAAUUUAUGGGGGCUCAACUAUAGUGCCAAGUUGUAAUCUUAGGAUUCACGGCGCACCAGUCGCAGACUUACCAUGCCAGGCGUUGUGGUAGGUUGAUGGUGCAGCAGAUGUGUUUUCUAGUGUUUAUGCUUGAGUUGUCGGGAAAUCGAGCACUUGAAAUGGUGAUCUCAAAUCAGACAAGAGUACCCGCUGAACUUAAGCAUAUCAGUAAGCGGAGNAAAAGAAAACUAACAAGGAUUUCCCUAGUAACGGCGAGUGAAGAGGGAAUAGCUCAAAUUUGAAAUCUGGGUAGUUGUACUACUNCGAAUUGUAAUUUGAAGAGACAUGGUCAGAGGGAAGCCGGGUCUAAGUCUCUUGGAAUAGAGCAUCAGAGAGGGUGAGAAUCCCGUCUUUGGCCCAGGUUAUACUCGUUGUGACUUGUUCUCGAAGAGUCGAGUUGUUUGGGAAUGCAGCUCAAAAUGGGUGGUAAAUUUCAUCUAAGGCUAAAUAGCGGCAGGAGACCGAUAGCGAACAAGUACCGUGAGGGAAAGAUGAAAAGCACUUUGAAAAGAGAGUCAAAUAGCACGUGAAAUUGUUAAAGGGGAAACGUUGGAGACCAGUAAUGGUCGCCAGAAAUCAACUCUGCGUACUCGCAGGGUGCACUUUCUGGUGCCAAGUCAACAUCAGUUAGCGAGCUGGCAAAAUGGUUUUGGGAAUGUAGCUAUUCUUCGGGGUAGUGUUAUAGCCCAAGGCAGAUACCGGCGAGUUGACUGAGGUGCUGCGGCGAUUAAUAGCAUUGUAUGUUUAUCUUGGGGAGUGUGGCCUUUUGCGCAAUUUAUUGACUGAGGGUUGUGCGUCUUUGGAAAGCAUGCAGUGUCUCCAUCGCCUAAGAUGUUGACGAAAUGGUCUUCAGCGACC
rnacentral:rRNA from 1 species